rnacentral:rRNA from 1 species
AAAUUGAAGAGUUUGAUCAUGGCUCAGAUUGAACGCUGGCGGCAGGCCUAACACAUGCAAGUCGAACGGUAGCACAGAGAGCUUGCUCUCGGGUGACGAGUGGCGGACGGGUGAGUAAUGUCUGGGAAACUGCCUGAUGGAGGGGGAUAACUACUGGAAACGGUAGCUAAUACCGCAUAAUGUCGCAAGACCAAAGAGGGGGACCUUCGGGCCUCUUGCCAUCAGAUGUGCCCAGAUGGGAUUAGCUAGUAGGUGGGGUAACGGCUCACCUAGGCGACGAUCCCUAGCUGGUCUGAGAGGAUGACCAGCCACACUGGAACUGAGACACGGUCCAGACUCCUACGGGAGGCAGCAGUGGGGAAUAUUGCACAAUGGGCGCAAGCCUGAUGCAGCCAUGCCGCGUGUAUGAAGAAGGCCUUCGGGUUGUAAAGUACUUUCAGCGGGGAGGAAGGCGAUAAGGUUAAUAACCUUGUCGAUUGACGUUACCCGCAGAAGAAGCACCGGCUAACUCCGUGCCAGCAGCCGCGGUAAUACGGAGGGUGCAAGCGUUAAUCGGAAUUACUGGGCGUAAAGCGCACGCAGGCGGUCUGUCAAGUCGGAUGUGAAAUCCCCGGGCUCAACCUGGGAACUGCAUUCGAAACUGGCAGGCUAGAGUCUUGUAGAGGGGGGUAGAAUUCCAGGUGUAGCGGUGAAAUGCGUAGAGAUCUGGAGGAAUACCGGUGGCGAAGGCGGCCCCCUGGACAAAGACUGACGCUCAGGUGCGAAAGCGUGGGGAGCAAACAGGAUUAGAUACCCUGGUAGUCCACGCCGUAAACGAUGUCGACUUGGAGGUUGUGCCCUUGAGGCGUGGCUUCCGGAGCUAACGCGUUAAGUCGACCGCCUGGGGAGUACGGCCGCAAGGUUAAAACUCAAAUGAAUUGACGGGGGCCCGCACAAGCGGUGGAGCAUGUGGUUUAAUUCGAUGCAACGCGAAGAACCUUACCUACUCUUGACAUCCAGAGAACUUUCCAGAGAUGGAUUGGUGCCUUCGGGAACUCUGAGACAGGUGCUGCAUGGCUGUCGUCAGCUCGUGUUGUGAAAUGUUGGGUUAAGUCCCGCAACGAGCGCAACCCUUAUCCUUUGUUGCCAGCGGUCCGGCCGGGAACUCAAAGGAGACUGCCAGUGAUAAACUGGAGGAAGGUGGGGAUGACGUCAAGUCAUCAUGGCCCUUACGAGUAGGGCUACACACGUGCUACAAUGGCGCAUACAAAGAGAAGCGACCUCGCGAGAGCAAGCGGACCUCAUAAAGUGCGUCGUAGUCCGGAUUGGAGUCUGCAACUCGACUCCAUGAAGUCGGAAUCGCUAGUAAUCGUAGAUCAGAAUGCUACGGUGAAUACGUUCCCGGGCCUUGUACACACCGCCCGUCACACCAUGGGAGUGGGUUGCAAAAGAAGUAGGUAGCUUAACCUUCGGGAGGGCGCUUACCACUUUGUGAUUCAUGACUGGGGUGAAGUCGUAACAAGGUAACCGUAGGGGAACCUGCGGUUGGAUCACCUCCUUACCUUAAAGAA